AAUCCUCAGAAAUUACCAACGGGUCAAGACCUUCCUCGACAAACAUGGAAAACCCUUAAUAGGAUCCGCACCGGCCACGGUGUAUGCACAGACGUCUUUAACAAAUGGGGAAGAAUUCAAACAGCCAACUGUGACUGUAGUGCGAGUCAUCAGACCAUCAAAUAUAAUGUACAGGAUUGCCACCUGAGGGCAUAUCCAGGGGAACAAUCGGAUUUCUUCCUAGCCUCUCUACCAGCACUUGAAUGGAUUGCCAAUUUUGACUUAAAAUUAUAAUGUCACAGGAAAUUAUCAGCGGUCUCUGUAGUUCGGAGUUGCACAUCUGUACUAUGUUUUGACGUCGUACGAAAUACGUAGUUGAAGAUGUUUUGUUAUGUGUAAUGGUAUACAUUCGCUACGAAGGUCGAAUUUAAAAUCACUAAAUAAAGGAGUGGAACAUCUUUUAUUUCACGUAUCUGGAGACGUUUAUGUACUGUGAAAGAGUUGGUGUGAAGUGUGAUUGAAGAUUGGAAUCAAUGCCCUACAUCCUAGUGAGGGGCAAUCUCUCUUCUUAUGGGCAAGAUUACCCAUGGCGAGUACUUGUUUCAGGCUUAAAAGGGCUUGGCCAAGUGGCCUGUUCCAGCCAUUUCAUCAGUCUUCUUGGCUUUCAUUUCAAUUUAGAUUGAUGUUUUAUCAAGAUCUUGGGGAACUUGUAUCCUCCAUCUUUUGUAUGUGCAUGUGACAUUGAACAGCUGAAAAGAUUUGCAUCAGGUGGUUAUUGUGACGAAUCUACGAUUGUUUACCUGCAACAUCCAUGUGUUAUUCUUACUGCUCUGGAAGUUUUAGGGUAUGAGGUUGUUGCUUCUUCAUCCAC